rnacentral:rRNA from 1 species
UACGUAGGGGGCGAGCGUUGUCCGGAUUUAUUGGGCGUAAAGAGCUCGUAGGCGGUUUGGUAAGUUGGAUGUGAAAUCUCCAGGCUCAACUUGGAGGGGUCAUUCGAUACUGCCAUGACUAGAGUUCGGUAGGGGAGUGUGGAAUUCCUGGUGGAGCGGUGAAAUGCGCAGAUAUCGGGAAGAACACCCGUGGCGAAGGCGGCUCUCUGGGACGGUACUGACGCUGAGACGCGAAAGCGUGGGGAGCGAACGAGG